GCUAAAAGCUAGAAAAUGAGAAUGGAUAUAAAAGUUGAAAUGAAGGAAAACAUAGAUAUGAAUCAAGCUUCAACUACUUCAGUAAGUACUUAGAUUCCUCAUAAGGAAAACAACUUGAUACUCAAGUUACUUUAACGAAACAACUAACAUCAAAUUGACUUGCAAAUAUGAAACUCAACAAGGUAUGUAGAAGAUAAAAGAAUGUUAGGGAGGGUCUGUAGAGAAUAUCUAAGUUAUUGGAGGUGGGACAGUUGUUAGGAAGUUGGGGCAAAUUGUUAGGAGGUUGGAGCUGUUAGCUGAGCUAGAGAAAUAGUUAUAAGUGCUUGUUAGGCUGACAGAUUGGUGAUCAAGGUAUGUAUAUUGUGUACAUAAAGAAAAAGUAACCCAACUUAAUAAAAUAAUUUUUGAUUCCCUUUUCCAUUUUAAGUUUCUCUGAUAUGCAUUCUCUCAGGCUCUACAAAAGGAAGCCUAUACUUCACUUCUAUCUUAUCUCUUACUUUACCUAGAUGGCAAUACAGAAGGCUACAUCUCAAUCAAAAUUGCAUUCGUAAUCUGAUCAUUCUUAAAGAAUAUCAGCAGACAGCUUUUCAAAAAUUCACUAUAUUACCAGAAGGAGAACAUGAUACCUGCAUUAUUGAAUGAAUUGAAGUUCACAACAAUAAG
rnacentral:misc_RNA from 1 species